CAGAGAUUCAAAUGUCUAUUUCCUCUAAUGGGUUGAAACCACAAGAUGUUUCUAUGGCUGAGUGAGGAACACGGUACCAGGGACUUCAGCUCCACAUCAAUAAUUGUACACCGAGAGUCUCUCCACUCUGUGGCUUUGGUUAACGAUGAAGGUAGCAAACUGUUUUGCAGUCAGCUCGCAUCGUGAGCGUAUUAUUGUUGUCGCAGCUCAUCAUAUUUUCCACAAGCCUGAGUGUCAAGCAAAAAAACGGAAAAAGUCGCCACGCCUCUACAUGCAAGGUCUAAAAGAAGUGCUUUGAGGCACAACUCGCAGUGAUGACUAAAACAGUGAUACGAUAUCUACUUCUCAGCACCUUUGUUAGGCUCCUCGUCUCACCCUCCGUGUCUCAGACCGUGGAGGUAGAGGCGGGGGACACUGUCACCUUUUCCUGUAGACAUGUGUCCGAUAUUCCCACACUGUCUACCUGGAUGAGGGCAGGUCGCACAUCAAAGCCCUUUGUCAUCUCCACUGGGUAUGGAACUUCUCCUUUGACAGGGAGUCACAGUGAUGGCAUCCAACAAAGUCGAUUUGUAACGGAAUACGGUGCCUCUUUCAUUAAUCUUACAAUGAAAGUGAGUUCUUCAGACUCUGGCUGGUAUUAUUGCCUUUUUUACCUUGGGAUGGAUGUAGUUGUUGUCAACUCAACAUGGUUGUUGGUUCAUGAAAAUGGUACAUUUCACGAAGAGGACAACCCAAAUUCUGAAAAACCCCGGCCAGUGAAGUGUGAGGGGAAUUGGAUCAUGGUCGGAGGACUCUUUGGUUCUGCGGUCAUCAUCCUGGUUCUGGUCAUUGUCGGACUCGU